UUGGAAUUUGGCAUUUUGUUUUCAAAUGUUUGGCUUGCUUACUAUGAGACUGCUCAUUUGUCAAAGAGUUGUGAAUUGAAAGCCACAAAACUCUAUAACAGUAAGUAACGGUUCCAAGCAACAUUAAAUUUCCAUGUAGUUGUGAUUGAGGGUCAAGCUCUAGAAUAGGCAUUGCUGAGUUGAACCAUGGGAAAGUGAAUGCUCAAUAGAUUUAAUUGGUGUACAAACAAUAGGUUCCGUUGAUAUCAAGGUUCAGCAUAUGCAGAUUCAACAUACCCCAAUUCAACA